UGCAGUCGGACGGCAGCACGGGGGCAACCCUGGUGGCGAGUGGCGAACGGGUGAGUAAUACAUCGGAACGUGUCCUGGAGUGGGGGAUAGCCCGGCGAAAGCCGGAUUAAUACCGCAUACGCUCUGAGGAGGAAAGGGGGGGAUCGCAAGACCUCCCGCUUUAGGGGCGGCCGAUGGCAGAUUAGCUAGUUGGUGGGGUAAAGGCCUACCAAGGCGACGAUCUGUAGCUGGUCUGAGAGGACGACCAGCCACACUGGGACUGAGACACGGCCCAGACUCCUACGGGAGGCAGCAGUGGGGAAUUUUGGACAAUGGGGGCAACCCUGAUCCAGCAAUGCCGCGUGUGUGAAGAAGGCCUUCGGGUUGUAAAGCACUUUUGUCCGGAAAGAAAGCAUCUGCACUAAUACUGUGGGUGGAUGACGGUACCGGAAGAAUAAGCACCGGCUAACUACGUGCCAGCAGCCGCGGUAAUACGUAGGGUGCAAGCGUUAAUCGGAAUUACUGGGCGUAAAGCGUGCGCAGGCGGUUCGCUAAGACAGAUGUGAAAUCCCCGGGCUUAACCUGGGAACUGCAUUUGUGACUGGCGGGCUAGAGUAUGGCAGAGGGGGGUAGAAUUCCACGUGUAGCAGUGAAAUGCGUAG
rnacentral:rRNA from 1 species